UAAAGAGUACAUGACACCAUUAGAGCUGAAACAACUAAUCGAUUUAAUCGAUUAUGAUCGAUUAUUAAAAUAGUUAACUUUUUGAGUCAUCGAUUAGUUGUUUAAUAAUCAUAUUUUACUGCAUAAAGUCUAUUUUUACCACAAUCUGACAUCGGUUACAAUGUUAAAUUUGCCACCAGUGUGUGGCAGUAAUGAGCCACUGAUCUACCAGUGGAGCCGUAGAAGAAGAAACGAGCCAAUAAGUGCCCUCGGUUUUAAUGACGUAUCACAUUACUGACGCUCAUCUUGCUGUGAGAGAUGGCGGAACAAGAAGAAAUACGGAAGAAAAAUAGAAGCGACAAAACAAGAAAAACCCCGGACAAAAACCUCAUGAUUAUGGGAGCACUUCACUCUAGAUGCCUUGAAAAGACGGGUGACCUGCAAAAUAUGCAAAAACCAUGGCAUGACGGAAGCACGACGUCCCUAAGUGAACAAUUGAGAUGAAAACAUGUGGGGGCUGAUGCAGCAGAGGAAAGUCCGAAAAAAACAACCAACGAUGGACAACUACAUGGGGAACAAGACACUCACCCCCCAGCAAUGCAUACCACUUACAAACUCUAUUCUAGAUUCUACAUAAUUUUUUAUGGAAUUUACCUCUUAUAUUUUGAUGCCAAAAAAUUAUUCUGGACUGAUAUUUUGCACUGGUUAGCUCAUUUUACACCGCUGACUGUGUUCAUGUGCAAUAAAAUAGAUUGCAGUCAACUGCACAAUUCUCUUAUGUUUUUCUUUUUCUUAACUGAAAUGUAUUCAUCACUUGUAUAGGUUAAAUAGCUAAACAAUAACAAACCGAUUAAUCUAAAAAAAUAAACAGAUUAAUCGAUUAUGAAAAUAAUCGUUAGUUGCAGCCCUAGACACCAUUAUUUAUCAUGCUUUCAAUUAUGAAAAAGCCUUAAAAAGGUUUAAAACAUUUUUUCCUCCACCUGAACCAAUCCUCAUGUAACCCCUCUUAUCUCUAUUAAGGUAGCGUGACUCAGGGUUGCGAAUGACCACAGUCACCAAUUCUUAUCAUGUGUCUGGCCCAUGUAUGUCUAAUCUCUGAAGUGUGUGUACUGAAACUCUAAUUUCUCUCUGGGAUUAAUAAAGUAUCUUUGAUUUGA